AACGAACGCUGGCGGCAUGCCUAACACAUGCAAGUCGAACGAGACCUUCGGGUCUAGUGGCGCACGGGUGCGUAACGCGUGGGAACCUGCCUUUAGGUUCGGAAUAACUCAGAGAAAUUUGAGCUAAUACCGGAUGAUGUCUUCGGACCAAAGAUUUAUCGCCUUUAGAUGGGCCCGCGUUGGAUUAGCUAGUUGGUGGGGUAAAGGCCUACCAAGGCGACGAUCCAUAGCUGGUCUGAGAGGAUGAUCAGCCACACUGGGACUGAGACUCGGCCCAGACUCCUACGGGAGGCAGCAGUGGGGAAUAUUGGACAAUGGGCGAAAGCCUGAUCCAGCAAUGCCGCGUGAGUGAUGAAGGCCUUAGGGUUGUAAAGCUCUUUUACCCGAGAUGAUAAUGACAGUAUCGGGAGAAUAAGCUCCGGCUAACUCCGUG
rnacentral:rRNA from 1 species